UCAGUCGACUCCUACGGGGAGGCAGCAGUGGGGAAUAUUGCACAAUGGGGGAAACCCUGAUGCAGCCAUGCCGCGUGUGUGAAGAAGGCCUUCGGGUUGUAAAGCACUUUCAGUAGGGAGGAAGGUAGUGUAGUUAACACCUGCAUUAUUUGACGUUACCUACAGAAGAAGCACCGGCUAACUCCGUGCCAGCAGCCGCGGUAAUACGGAGGGUGCGAGCGUUAAUCGGAAUUACUGGGCGUAAAGCGCAUGCAGGCGGCCUGUUAAGUCAGAUGUGAAAGCCCGGGGCUUAACCUCGGAAUUGCAUUUGAAACUGGCAGGCUAGAGUCUUGUAGAGGGGGGUAGGAAUUUCAGGUGUAGCGGUGAAAUGCGUAGAGAUCUGAAGGAAUACCAGUGGCGAAGGCGGCCCCUGGACAAAGACUGACGCUCAGAUGCGAAAGCGUGGGGAGCAAACAGGAUUAGAUACCCUGGUAG
rnacentral:rRNA from 1 species